UCACUUCCCUAUCUGGCAAUUAUAUUUCAGU
rnacentral:piRNA from 1 species